GCAGCGAUAGCUCAAUCGGCAGAGCAUCGGACUGUUAAUCCGACGGGUGCGGGUUCGAAUCCCGCUCGUUAACA
rnacentral:tRNA from 1 species